GGUUGUCGUCAGCUCGUGUCGUGAGAUGUUGGUUAAGUCCCGCAACGAGCGCAACCCUUAUUGCUAGUUACCAUCAUUCAGUUGGGGACUCUAGCGAGACUGCCAGUGAUAAACUGGAGGAAGGUGGGGAUGACGUCAAAUCAUCAUGCCCCUUAUGACCUGGGCUACAAACGUGAUACAAUGGCUGAAACAAAGGGCAGCGAAGGAGCGAUCUGGAGCGAAACCCAAAAAAGCAGUCUCAGUUCGGAUUGAAGUCUGCAACUCGACUUCAUGAAGUCGGAAUCGCUAGUAAUCGCGGAUCAGAACGCCGCGGUGAAUACGUUCUCGGGGUUU
rnacentral:rRNA from 1 species